GCUGAUUACCUGAUGAACUGGAUGUUUGGUAAAUAUGAUGUAAACUGAAGUACCACAGCGUGCUCUUUCUGCUGGGUUGGCCAUGGUGCUGAUAACGCUACAUUCGCAAAUGUACGUAGAUCCGGCCCUCACUGCACACCAAAACAA